UACGGAGGGAGCGAGCGUUGUUCGGAAUCACUGGGCGUAAAGGGCGCGUAGGCGGUCGUGUAAGUCGGGUGUGAAAUUCCGGGGCUCAACCCCGCAAACUGCAUUCGAUACUGCUCGACUAAAGAGAGGUAAGGGCGAGGGAAAUUCCCGGGGUAGCGGGGGAAGGCGAAAAUAUCGGAAAAAACACCGGGGGCGAAGGCGUCUCGCUGGCCCUUUUCUGACGCUGAAGCGCGAAAGCGUGGGGAGCAAACAGGAUUAAAUACCCUGGUAGUCCACGCCGUAAACGAUGGGUACUAGGUGUUGGGAGGAUUGACCCUCUCAGUACCGACGCUAACGCAUUAAGAACCCCGGCUGGGGAGUACGGCCGCAAGGCUGAAACUCAAAGGAAUUGACGGGGGCCCGCACAAGCGGAGGAGCAUGUGGUUUAAUUCGAAGCAACGCGAAGAACCUUACCUGGGCUUGACAUGUUGGUAGUACUUCCCUGGAAACAGGGGGGACCCUUCGGGGAAGCAUCACAGGUGCUGCAUGGCUGUCGUCAGCUCGUGUCGUGAGAUGUUGGGUUAAGUCCCGCAUCGAGCGCAAACCUCGCCCGUAGUCGCCAGCGGUUCGGCCGGGGCCUUUUCGGGGGCUGCCGGUGAUAAACCGGAGGGAGGUGGGGAAGGCGUCAAGUCAUCAUGGCCCUUAUGUGCAGGGCGACACACGUUCUUCAAUGGCCGGUACAGAGGGCAGCGAUACCGCGAGGUGGAGCGAAUUCCAAAAAACCGGUUCAAGUUCGGAUUGCAGUUUGAAACUUGGCUGCAAGAAACUGGAAUCGGUAGUAAUUGUGGGUCAACCAUAUCACGGUGAAUACGUUCCCGGGCCU
rnacentral:rRNA from 1 species